UGAGUGCUACAGGUGGCAGCGGACUGCGUCGUCUUAUUAAUUACAGGACUUGUGAGCAACGUGUUUAAACCUGUUCGAGCUCUGGACUUUCUAGGUUAAUUAGUUCUUAUUCAUCAUAUUCAACUAAUAUGCGGACGUGGGCACCUUCAAGAGCAACUAUCACAUACUUCCUGCUGUUCUUCCUAUACAGUGUAAAGUAAUGGAUCUCUAUCGCAGCAACUUCCUAGUGGUGAAAUCCGGUAAUCGGUAUUGCGUACGUUAAUGUAUUUUACAUUAUAAAACGUACGCACUGCCGAGUCAGUUGCUGACGUUCGGUGCAUUAGAGAAAUUUUAAUAUAAUAUUUUAAUUUGUUAAUAUAUAGUAAUUUAAGAUUAAUUAAUUAAGAGUUUAAAGAAUAUAAUGAAUAUUAAUUUAUGAAUAUAGAGAACAAUAAAAAAUGUACAAUAAAAAUGAACAAUA